rnacentral:misc_RNA from 1 species
AUGUUGGAAUUCCUGGAAAAUGUGGCGUUCUUAAUAGUCAUAAAAGUACUAAAUAUAUACUGCAAAAUGCUAGGUGUGUCUCUGAGAUUUAGGACAACUUCUGAAAGUACUGUCAUUAACGGAGAAGCUGGAAUAAAAAGAAAAGUCACUCCAGA